AGCUCAAUGAAGACAGUUGUUGAUGACCCAGUUCCAACUGCUGUGAUAGUUGUACGUCUGGUUUGAAGCGGCUUGGUGUUGAAACCAAAGGACACACAGUCGCAGGACAUACAGUCCCUACCGUAUUCUCCUUGAGGUAAGGACACAUAGUCCUCGCCCAACACUCGUGGUAAGUAUUUAGGACAGACUUCCAAACCAUCACAAACUCGAUCACCCGGCGAUCCAAAAUUGACUGCUGGAUGCCCUAUACCAUGAAGCCUAGCCAUCUGGAGGAUGCACAGUCCUCAAAGGUAACAACCGUCAGUUCCACAUAGGAAUAACUUCUUCAGUGAUGCUUAAUCACUUGGUUUUUGGUUUGGGUUUGGGUGUUUGGGGUAUUUCCUCACAUGAUGAUUUUCGCUCGAAUACUCUGAGGAAUUUGGGUUUCUCAAAAUGACUAGUGCCAGUUUCUCUCGGAGCAUCCUCCCACCUAGUGGUUUGGGGCGGCUAUUUAUAGCCUGGGAGCAUCCCAACAUGAUUUUACAUAAAUGCCCUUUAAUAAUAUGACCGUUGGUUGGAUAAGAUCUGGGACAGGUGGCGCGUAGCACGGCAACGGUCGGAACUUUCGAAUGUGAAAGUCCUCAGGUCUCUCAUGUUCCUCACUUUGAGGAUCUGGUAGAUGUAGGUUUGGGUUGAGCAUCAUGAGGAAAUUCUUUCCAUAGUUUUACCUCGACCCCCUUUAAGAGUACGAUGCUCCUAUGACUCAAGCAUAAAUAAAAUGAAACAGAAAGAG
rnacentral:lncRNA from 1 species